GAUGAACGCUAGCGGCAGGCUUAACACAUGCAAGUCGAGGGGUAUAGGUUUUCGGACCUAGAGACCGGCGCACGGGUGCGUAACGCGUAUGCAACCUACCUUUUACAGGGGGAUAGCCCAGAGAAAUUUGGAUUAAUACCUCAUAGUAUUAUGAUGUGGCAUCACAUUAUAAUUAAAGUCACAACGGUAAAAGAUGGGCAUGCGUCCCAUUAGCUAGAUGGUAAGUAACGGCUUACCAUGGCUACGAUGGGUAGGGGUCCUGAGAGGGAGAUCCCCCAUACUGGUACUGCGACACGGACCAGACCU
rnacentral:rRNA from 1 species